AGGAAAACCUAGCGUAGCUCUGUUGCAUUUCAACACUAGAGGGCAUAAGCGCUAUAUAUCACGUAUCACGUAAAAGUAGUCUACGAAGAUAAUUUACUUUAAAAAUAAUGGGAGUGUGCCGUGUUCAGAGUAAUAAAACAAAUAAAAUAGUAAACAAUUUCUAUAUAUCUUAUCACAAAUGUUAACAUUAUCAAACCUAUAGCCAAUCUAGUACCCAUACCCACCACUUCAUCUUAUUAUUUUAGAAACACAAACCCACAUAUCCCGAAAUUAUCUUUAUAUGCAAUGGUUAGUGAUUCUUAUAAUGAUAAUAAUAUCAAUAAUAUGCUAAUAAAUAUUAAAAAUAAUGAGGGUGGGGGGGGGGUUGGUGAUACCUUCUACUAGUAUGUCCAAACUAUGCAGAAUAUGUGAAAGUUCAUUUAGAACUUAUCAAAACGAAAUCACACAUAAAAAUAUUUUUGA